AUUGAACGCUAGCGGGAUGCCUUACACAUGCAAGUCGAACGGCAGCACGGACUUCGGUCUGGUGGCGAGUGGCGAACGGGUGAGUAAUGUAUCGGAACGUGCCCAGUAGCGGGGGAUAACUACGCGAAAGCGUAGCUAAUACCGCAUACGCCCUACGGGGGAAAGCAGGGGAUCGCAAGACCUUGCACUAUUGGAGCGGCCGAUAUCGGAUUAGCUAGUUGGUGGGGUAACGGCUCACCAAGGCGACGAUCCGUAGCUGGUUUGAGAGGACGACCAGCCACACUGGGACUGAGACACGGCCCAGACUCCUACGGGAGGCAGCAGUGGGGAAUUUUGGACAAUGGGGGAAACCCUGAUCCAGCCAUCCCGCGUGUGCGAUGAAGGCCUUCGGGUUGUAAAGCACUUUUGGCAGGAAAGAAACGUCAUGGGUUAAUACCCCGUGAAACUGACGGUACCUGCAGAAUAAGCACCGGCUAACUACGUGCCAGCAGCCGCGGUAAUACGUAGGGUGCAAGCGUUAAUCGGAAUUACUGGGCGUAAAGCGUGCGCAGGCGGUUCGG
rnacentral:rRNA from 1 species